rfam:Alpha proteobacterium symbiont of Oscarella lobularis scaffold1, whole genome shotgun sequence.
AAUCAAGCGCGAGAAGGGCGUUUGGUGGAUGCCUUGGCAGUAAGAGGCGAUGAAGGACGUGAUAAUCUGCGAUAAGCUAGGGGGAGCCGAUAAUAGGCUUUGAUCCCUGGAUUUCCGAAUGGGGCAACCCACCUGACAGACCAUUAUAAAUAGCUUCGGCCAUUUAUAGUGAUCUGAAACAGGUACUUUUAACCUGAAUACAUAGGGUUUUAAGAGCAAACCCGGGGAACUGAAACAUCUAAGUACCCGGAGGAAAGGACAGCAAUAGCUACUCCCCUAGUAGCGGCGAGCGAACGGGGACCAGCCGAGCCAUGAGAGUGACUGGAACGACCUGGAAAGGUCGGCCGCAGCGGGUGACAGCCCCGUACAGGAAGCUCGAUUGGACGUAUUAAGUAGGGCGGAACACGUGAAAUUCUGUCUGAAGAUCGGAGGACCACCUUCGAAGGCUAAGUACUCCUUACUGACCGAUAGCGAACCAGUACCGUGAGGGAAAGGUGAAAAGCACCCCGACGAGGGGAGUGAAACAGUACCUGAAACCGAACGCCUACAAUCAGUUGGAGGCCCCUUGAGGGCUGACAGCGUACCUUUUGUAUAAUGGGUCAUCGACUUGGUCUCACAUGCAAGCUUAAGCCGUUAGGUGUAGGCGUAGCGAAAGCGAGUCUUAAUAGGGCGUUGAGUUUGUGGGAUCAGACCCGAAACCGAGUGAUCUAGGCAUGGCCAGGUUGAAGAUACGGUAACACGUAUUGGAGGACCGAACCCACUGACGUUGAAAAGUCACGGGAUGAGCUGUGCCUAGGGGUGAAAGGCCAAUCAAACUCGGAGAUAGCUGGUUCUCCGCGAAAUCUAUUUAGGUAGAGCGUCACGUCUUACCCCGGGGGGUAGAGCACUGGAUGGGUAAUGGGGCCCCACAGGCUUACUGAUCCUAACCAAACUCCGAAUACCCGGGAGUACAAUCGUGGCAGACACACGGCGGAUGCUAACGUCCGUCGUGGAGAGGGAAACAACCCUGACCUACGACUAAGGCCCCUAAUUCAUGGCUAAGUGGGAAAGCAGGUGGGACGACCAAAACAACCAGGAGGUUGGCUUAGAAGCAGCCAUCCUUUAAAGAUAGCGUAACAGCUCACUGGUCUAAAUAAGUUAUCCUGCGGCGAAGAUGUAACGGGGCUCAAGCCAUGAGCCGAAGUCUAGGAUGCCGUAAGGCAUGGUAGCGGAGCGUAGUGUGAAAUAGUCUCUUUCCUCCUUAGCGGCCUCGGCCGCGUUGGAGGAGCGAGGCUUUCUGUGAAGCGGGCGCGUGAGCGAUCCCGUGGAGAGAUCACUAGUGAGAAUGAUGACAUGAGUAGCGACAAACAGGGUGAGAGACCCUGUCGCCGAAAAUCCAAGGGUUCCUGCUUAAAGCUAAUCUGAGCAGGGUAAGCCGACCCCUAAGGCGAGGCCGAAAGGCGUAGUCGAUGGGAACCAGGUUAAUAUUCCUGGGCCAGGAGGAUGUGACGGAUCUCGAAGGUAGUUCACCCUUAUCGGAUUGGGUGGGCUGCUUAGGGGUCCCUGGAAAUAGCCCUCCAUUAGAUCGUACCCUAAACCGACACAGGUGGAUAGGUAGAGUAUACCAAGGCGCUUGAGAGAACGAUGUUGAAGGAACUCGGCAAAAUACCUCCGUAAGUUCGCGAGAAGGAGGCCCAGUUCUAAGGCAACUUGGAGCUGGGGGCACAAACUAGGGGGUGGCGACUGUUUAUUAAAAACACAGGGCUCUGCGAAGUCGCAAGACGACGUAUAGGGUCUGACGCCUGCCCGGUGCUUGAAGGUUAAAAGGAGGAGUGAGAGCUCCGAAUUGAAGCCCAAGUAAACGGCGGCCGUAACUAUAACGGUCCUAAGGUAGCGAAAUUCCUUGUCGGGUAAGUUCCGACCUGCACGAAUGGCGUAACGACUUCCCCACUGUCUCCAACAUCGACUCAGCGAAAUUGAAUUGCCUGUCAAGAUGCAGGCUUCCCGCGGUUAGACGGAAAGACCCCGUGCACCUUUACUACAGCUUCACACUGGCAUCAGGCCAUGCAUGUGCAGGAUAGGUGGUGGGCUUUGAAGCAGGGACGCUAGUUCCUGUGGAGCCUCCCUUGAGAUACCACCCUUGCAUUGCUUGAUGUCUAACCGCGGUCCGUUACCCGGAUCCGGGACCCUGUGUGGCGGGUAGUUUGACUGGGGCGGUCGCCUCCUAAAGAGUAACGGAGGCGCGCGAAGGUUGGCUCAGAGCGGUCGGAAAUCGCUCGUUGAGUGCAAUGGCAGAAGCCAGCCUGACUGCGAGACUGACAAGUCGAGCAGAGUCGAAAGACGGCCAUAGUGAUCCGGUGGUCCCGCGUGGAAGGGCCAUCGCUCAACGGAUAAAAGGUACGCCGGGGAUAACAGGCUGAUGGUGCCCAAGAGUCCAUAUCGACGGCACCGUUUGGCACCUCGAUGUCGGCUCAUCUCAUCCUGGGGCUGGAGCAGGUCCCAAGGGUACGGCUGUUCGCCGUUUAAAGAGGUACGUGAGCUGGGUUUAGAACGUCGUGAGACAGUUCGGUCCCUAUCUGCCGUGGGUGUAGGAGAUUUGAGAAGAGUUGCCCCUAGUACGAGAGGACCGGGGUGAACGAACCACUGGUGGACCAGUUGUCGUGCCAACGGCAGUGCUGGGUAGCUAUGUUCGGACAGGAUAACCGCUGAAGGCAUCUAAGCGGGAAGCCCCCUUCAAAACAAGAUCUCCCUGAGGACCGAGGUAGACCACCUCGUCGAUAGGCCAGAGGUGUAAGUGCGGUAACGCAUUCAGCUGACUGGUACUAAUUGUCCGAUAGGCUUGAUUUG